AAACACCUGACGUCGUACCGACGUUGGUUAGACGUUGGAUUUUGGUCGCGACGUCGGCGACCUGAAUCCAACGUCUAACCAACGUCAUAUCUACGACGUCUAAUAGACGUCAGACUUAGACGUCUAGAAGACGUUGGAAUUAGGUUGGAUAGAAAGUCUGAUAAAUUUUUUAGUUAUAAAACUAACUGGUAUAAUUUUGCUAGUAUAGUUUAAAGAUAUUUACUUGUUUUCAUAAAGGCCUGGACGUGCGCUUAUUAUAAUUAUGUUACAAUAUCGCAUGAGAUUGUCUAUUAUCGGAGACGGAUUUUUUCACGAACUUUAAACUGUUCAAGAUAAAAAUGCAUUCUAUACACAUGUAUAAAUUAUUCUAAAUUCACAUAGAUCUUCUCUUCUACACAUGCUGUCUAUUAGUCACACAUUCGCGAGAUAAGCCUGCAUCGGUUUACACAGUCUUCCUGUAAUUUGAUAUUUAUUGGGAUAAGAUAGAGCAAGUUUAUAAAUACUUUACACAAAGGGAAAGAUCCGCAACGUGGAAAUGUUGGCGGAGUUGAAGAUUCAUACAAAAAUGACGAAACUUGAAAGUUUCAAUUACUGCAUUACUUUUUGGACUUAUUGUAUUAGACUUACGUCGCCAUAAUAUGAAAUAAAGAUGAUAAAAUA